rnacentral:rRNA from 1 species
UGGCGGACGGGUGAGUAAUGCCUGGGAAACUGCCCGAUGGAGGGGGAUAACUACUGGAAACGGUAGCUAAUACCGCAUAACGUCGCAAGACCAAAGAGGGGGACCUUAGGGCCUCUUGCCAUCGGAUGUGCCCAGAUGGGAUUAGCUAGUAGGUGGGGUAACGGCUCACCUAGGCGACGAUCCCUAGCUGGUCUGAGAGGAUGACCAGCCACACUGGAACUGAGACACGGUCCAG